GGGAGUGUCAGUACGCCUGGUGGCGGCCGCGGGCUUCAAACCCGUUGUAGGAUCUGUCAAGCAGACCCUAGGUGGGUUCGAUUCCCAUCCACUCCCGC
rnacentral:tRNA from 1 species